CAACCAGUUUUAUUAUUGAAUGUAUGCAUAUAAAUGUAAAACAGAUACAUAUCCGGUCACCAUUUAGGUGUGAGUUGGAUGGAAUUUCAAAAACUGUGAUAUAUUACAAAAUCCCGCGAUAGGACAGAUUAUCUCGCGAGAUAGUGGUCACGUCACGCGUUCUUCCGGAAGUUCACAUUCAAACACGAGGAGCGAUUACGAGGGAGUUUUGUCUAUAUAUUAUGCAAAAUCUACUGUUGGUAGAAUCUCAUCCAAAUAAAAAUAAACAAACUAAAGGCACUGUGUCCUACACAGACCCUCCAAAAUAUAACCACCCAAAACCCAAGUCAGUUGAAGAUCAACACAAACCAAAUAAAGAUGUGCAUUCUACAAACAAUAACAAAAGAUCAAGUUUUGUGUCAAACACACUUAGAUGAGGCGUGCCCGAUCCCUGACUUUGUCUACCCUACAUUAAGUUGCACACUUCAUGACAGUAAACAUCGGUAUCAAGCUGGUGUGAUUGAUCUAUACUCUGGCCUAGAAUAAGCUGUGACACUAUGAGACGGUCACAUAAUGAACAGGCAUCUUACAGACAACCGAAAGAGGCAUACGUAUUCUCUACAAUCCCAAAUUCUGGAUUGACGCCCCAGUACCAGAGGGCACCCCAAUCCCAGAGAGCACGCCAAUCCCAGAGAGCAUCCAUCUGAAAGCAGGUGAUGAAUUUACUACUAAUCAAGGAACUGGCUUUACUGACGAGAUGCGCAUGAUAUCGCAUGCGAUUUAUCGUGCAGCCCUAGAUUUUACAUUAGUGACAACUCAUCUUAGAGGAUAAACAUGUACAUUUCUCUGAAUCUGAGUUAAUAGUUACAAAUACAGAGCUUAUAAUGUCUGUCAUUGCUCAACCACAAAGACCUAAAAGUACAGACAGCUAAUUUCAUAACUAAUGCAGUAUUACACUGUGAAGUUAUUUAUAUAUACUGUUAAAAUAUUACACUACCAUAUAAUUAACUCUAUUUGUCCAGGUGAGGUAACACAACGAAAAAAUAACAGGAUGGAGACUACCUGAUUCUUCACCUAUGGCCUCAGCUUCAAAUGCAAGAAGCAAGAAAUGCUAUAUGACUGUGUAUUUUGCAUUAUGAAUGCAUUAUGAAUACAUCAAAGAUGUUGAUAACAAGUUGAUCUGCGUAAAUUGUGACAUAAAGAAUAUGUAUAUAUAUUUCCAGCUAUCUUUCUAUAACAUUAUUUCAAUUGUUUUCACAUGUAGGUCCAGCAACUGUCUGAGUUGGUGGAUAUUCUGUCAGAGACUGCGUGAACAACGUUAUGAACAGAAUGAUGUCUAAUUGUCUUAUGGCCAAGUUCAAUAUGAGCGGUGGUGGACAUCUGGAAAAGAAGGCUUUUAAAGGCACACCUUUGUAUUAUGUUAUUCAAGAUGCUGUGAAGAGGUGGAGCCCAAAUGCCACAGACUCGGAAAUAGAUGCAGCUAUGGCAGACCACCUCAAGCACGCUCCAGGAAGAGCUGGGGGUUGUGAAAACACUAAAUAAGCCAAACAGCUGUAAUGUGUUAAAGAGAGAGUACACCCAAAAAUGAAAAUUGUUAUAAUUUUCUUACCCACAUGUUUCAAACCUGUAUACAUUUCUAUUUUCUGCUGAACACAAAGAUUGAAAAAUGUUUGUAACCAAGCUAACUGUCAAUAAUUUUUUUUUACAACUGUAGUAAUGGGUUGUGAGAUCUGCUUUCUGCUUUCUAUUCUUUCAAAUAUCUUUGUGUUCAGCAGAACAUAGAAAAGUAUACAGGUUUGAAACAUAAGAGAGAGUAAAUUGCUAAAUAAUCAAUUUUGGGUGAACUAUCCUUUUAUAUAGUAAAGUAUUUUGAAAUUGUUAUUAUAGUUAAACAGUUUAAAAAAAUAAAAAGUGCCAAAUCAGAA